rnacentral:rRNA from 1 species
UACGUAGGGGGCUAGCGUUGUCCGGAAUCAUUGGGCGUAAAGCGCGUGUAGGCGGUCCGGUAAGUCCGCUGUGAAAGUCGGGGGCUCAACCCUCGGAUGCCGGUGGAUACUGUCGGGCUUGAGUACGGAAGAGGCGAGUGGAAUUCCUGGUGUAGCGGUGAAAUGCGCAGAUAUCAGGAGGAACACCAAUUGCGAAGGCAGCUUGCUGGGACGUUACUGACGCUGAGACGCGAAAGCGUGGGGAGCAAACAGG